rnacentral:rRNA from 1 species
GACGAACGCUGGCGGCGUGCUUAACACAUGCCAGUCGAACGGAAAGGCCCUGCUUUUGUGGGGUGCUCGAGCAGCGAACGGGUGAGUAACACGUGAGUAACCUGCCCUUGACUUUGGGAUAACUUCAGGAAACUGGGGCUAAUACCGGAUAGGAGCUCCUGCUGCAUGGUGGGGGUUGGAAAGUUUCGGCGGUUGGGGAUGGACUCGCGGCUUAUCAGCUUGUUGGUGGGGUAGUGGCUUACCAAGGCUUUGACGGGUAGCCGGCCUGAGAGGGUGACCGGCCACAUUGGGACUGAGAUACGGCCCAGACUCCUACGGGAGGCAGCAGUGGGGAAUAUUGCACAAUGGGCGGAAGCCUGAUGCAGCAACGCCGCGUGCGGGAUGACGGCCUUCGGGUUGUAAACCGCUUUCGCCUGUGACGAAGCGUGAGUGACGGUAAUGGGUAAAGAAGCACCGGCUAACUACGUG